GUCAAAGCGUUCAUUAAAGUCGAGUUGGCUUAGGGAUACGUUCGUUGGGUAGGGGAGCGUUCUGUAAGCCUGUGAAGGUGUGUCGUGAGGCAUGCUGGAGGUAUCAGAAGUGCGAAUGCUGACAUAAGUAACGAUAAAGCGGGUGAAAAGCCCGCUCGCCGGAAGACCAAGGGUUCCUGUCCAACGUUAAUCGGGGCAGGGUGAGUCGACCCCUAAGGCGAGGCCGAAAGGCGUAGUCGAUGGGAAACGGGUUAAUAUUCCCGUACUUGGUGUUACUGCGAAGGGGGGACGGAGAAGGCUAUGUUGGCCGGGCGACGGUUGUCCCGGUUUAAGCGUGUAGGUGUGUGUUCCAGGUAAAUCCGGUUCACUUUAACACUGAGGCGUGACGACGAGGCACUACGGUGCUGAAGCAACAAAUGCCCUGCUUCCAGGAAAAGCCUCUAAGCAUCAGGUAACAC
rnacentral:rRNA from 4 species